AAAUGCCAAAUCUGCUCUCGUCCAGUUUUCCUCAAACGCACGAGACAAAGGCCCGAGGCCUGGCCCGUUCUUCAUUCUAUCUCCCCUUCCCGACUUGACCUAGCCGCCAGCCGCCAGUCGCCAGAGCCGCUACGCCCGCCGUCCGCCGCCCUACUCCGCCGUGUUUCCCCCCCAUCCGCCGCCUCCCAUCGCUGGCCCAAGGUUUUGUGUGUGAUUUGCAUGGGAUUUGAGUGGGAGGGGCUGGAUUGACUAAGGGGUGUGAUGGAUCUGAAAAGGAUCGAUGCAAUGUUUGUGCAUGAUUCUAACCAAUCCAGUGUGAUAAACCUAACCACGGGGGCGAUCUCAGGCAAUGAAGUAGAAAAUGGUAGUGCUACUAUUGAUUGGUCAAGCUUUGUGAUUGAACCAGAAAACGAUGGAGAUGAAAAACCGCCGGACCAGAAAGCCAUGUUUGCUAUGUUUGGUUUAAAAACAGAGCCGGAUGAGAGAGCAACUGAGCUUCCUACUCCUGAUGUGGAGUCUGACUUACAUGAUAUCAAAGAUGCAGAUAUUGUUGUUGAUGAUAAGGCUACAGAGGAGCCACUUAUUGCCUGGGAUGAACGAAACCCAGCCAUGGAUAUAGGGACACCUUAUCCUAACAUGGUUGAAUUUAGAAAGGCUUUAAAACAGUGGGCUGUCAAUGGAGAGUUUGAAUAUGGCACCAAAAAAUGAGCCGGGGAGGUUUCAGGCUUUUUGCAAAGGUCAAUCCAUAAUAGGUGAACCUUGCAAAUGGGCUAUAACUGCUAGUUGGCGAAGGGAUGGAAAUUGUGUGAUGGUUGUGAAGCACCAAAUGGAGCAUAUUUGUAGUUCAACGAGUGGAAAAGUGACAAGAAUGACAUCUCAAUCAUGGGUUGCCGACAAGGCAGUAGCUAUGUUGAAGAAGGAUCCAACCGUUGGUGCUGUGAAGAUACUUAAAGACUUGCAAGAUGAGCAUCAUGUCACACUUAACUAUCACACAGUGUGGAAAGGCAAACAAAAGGCAGCAGACGGCUUAUAUGGGAGUUGGGAAGAAAGUUUCAGGAUGUUGUACAACUACAAGGCUGAAAUAGAAUUGAGGUCUCCGGGGAGUAUUGUUGAGAUUGAUACGACCACACAUGAAGGUGAAGUGCAUUUCAGCAAGCUAUUUAUCGCUUUCAAGCCUUGCAUAGAUGGUUUUGUGAAUGGAUGUAGGCCAUAUAUUAGCAUAGAUUCAACUCAUUUAAAUGGAAAGUGGAAUGGUCAGCUAGCUGUAGUCACCGCAUUGGAUGAUCACAAUUGGAUGUUCCCGGUGGCGUAUGGCUUUAUUGAGUCUGAAAAUGGAGAUAAUUGGGCUUGGUUCAUGAAUCAAGUGAAGAAGGCAAUAGGGGACCCUCUGGUAUUGGCUGUUUGUAAUUGAGCCCCUUACGGACAAGAAUCAAUGGCCACACGUGGACACAGGCUUUGUGUUGCGUCCACCAAUUCCAAUAGGCAAGAAGAAAGGUGCUGGAAGAACAAGAAAAUAGAGGAUAAAGAGUUGGUGGGAAGGUGGAUCAAGGAAAGGAUCCUUGAACAAAUGCAAAAAAUGUGGGGAGAUAGGACAUAGAGAAGCUGGUUGUCCUCAAAAUGGAACAAAGAAAAGGAAAAGUAGGGGGGAAAAGAAUCCAUCUCCAUGGUUUGAUAUUUCCGUUAGCAAUACCGUUCCAUCUACACCAACCAAGAGCAAGAAUGAUGCCACUUGUAGCAGUCCUGGAGCUGUCACAAGAAGCCAAGCUGCAGCUCAAGAUAGUCCUGGACCUGUCACAAGGAGCCAAGCUUCUACCCCACCACCAAAACCUCCAGCAAAAGGAAAGAAGAAGAAAAUGACACCUAAGAGGAAGAAAUUAAGCGACCUCUGAGCUUGUUUGUGGCUGUAAUGAACUUGGCUGUUAGUGGAGACUCACUUUUAUUGUUGUGUAUGUGAGAUGCAAACUCACUUUUAUUUGCUCUGUAAGUGAGGUAGAGACUCACUUUUAUUUCCUAUGUAUGUGAGGUAAAGACUCACUUAUUUUGCUGUCAUGAAGUCCUGUAGAACAUGGCUGAAUUAUUCUCUAUGCUAUCAUUGAAUCAUUGUGACCCUAUAUUA